rnacentral:rRNA from 1 species
GACGAACGCUGGCGGCGUGCUUAACACAUGCAAGUCGAACGGAAAGGCCCUGCUUUUGUGGGGUGCUCGAGUGGCGAACGGGUGAGUAACACGUGAGUAACCUGCCCUUGCCUUUGGGAUAACUUCAGGAAACUGGGGCUAAUACCGGAUAGGAGCUCCUGCUGCAUGGUGGGGGUUGGAAAGUUUCGGCGGUUGGGGUUGGACUCGCGGCUUAUCGGCUUGUUGGUGGGGUAGUGGCUUACCAAGGCGUGGACGGGUAGCCGGCCUGAGAGGGUGACCGGCCACAGUGGGACUGAGAUACGGCCCAGACUCCUACGGGAGGCAGCAGUGGGGAAUAUUGCACAAUGGGCGGAAGCCUGAUGCAGCAACGCCGCGUGCGGGAUGACGGCCUUCGGGUUGUAAACCGCUUUCGCCUGUGACGAAGCGUGAGUGACGGUAAUGGGUAAAGAAGCACCGGCUAACUACGUG